CCAGCUGAUAAAAGAGGAAUAGUGUAAGUGCCCGAUGGGUACGAACGUCAUCUUGUGACUGCAUCACCUUUGUUUGGCUAAAGUACAAGAGAACUGCAGCACCGAAGACUACAUGUACAUCGAUUUGAAUAAUCUGUAUCCUCAAAAGGCAACUCAAAUACAGAAAAUGCAUAUAAUUUGGAAAAGAGACCACCAAUCCACUGG